UACGAAGGGGGCUAGCGUUGCUCGGAAUCACUGGGCGUAAAGGGUGCGUAGGCGGGUCUUUAAGUCAGGGGUGAAAUCCUGGAGCUCAACUCCAGAACUGCCUUUGAUACUGAGGAUCUUGAGUACGGGAGAGGUGAGUGGAACUGCGAGUGUAGAGGUGAAAUUCGUAGAUAUUCGCAAGAACACCAGUGGCGAAGGCGGCUCACCUGGCCCGAUACUGACGCUGAGGCACGAAAGCGUGGGAGCAAACAGG
rnacentral:rRNA from 1 species